AAUUUCAGAAUUUUUCCUAACUAAGUGAAAUUACUAGAAUGCCCUUAAAGAGCAAAUAUCCAAUUUUCUUCUCUUCCUUGCUCCCCACGUACAAAGUAAGAAGGAGGAAAUUUCCUUCCUUCCUUCUUCCCUCAUUUCAGUCUCCAUUCAAAGCAAAAACCAAGUUUGUUUCUUCCACUUUAUCCUUUACAAAUUCAACAAUUUCAGAAAACAAUUUCAACACAAGAGACCAAUUUCACUUCCCUUUUCUCUCUUCUCUGAUUCAAGCAAUCAGCCACCAACAUCUUAUUCACCAUUGAAUUUCAAGAUCAAAACAAUAGAGUUUAUUACCAUUUUAUUUUCUCUUUGAAUAAACUGCAAAUCUCAGCCAUUGGACCCACCCUCUUCGCCCCUUUUUCCGGCAUAAUGCCGCCUGCAAACCACCCCUUUUGUCGCCUGUAACCACCGCACCACCACCUCCUUAUUUCCCGGCCGUCGCAAACAACCCACCACCACCACGCACCUCCCCUGUCUCCCUCGCCCUUACGCCCAACUCCUUGCGCCCAACUCCCUGCCUCCCUCCUCACUCGACCCCCCUGCCUUCGCGCCCAGCCAGCACGGUGGUGCUGCUGCGCUGGCGACGCUCCACCCCUUUCCUCCUUCCUGGCGCCGCGCCACCCAGACACGCCCCCCCUUCUUCCUUCCUGCUGCCGCAUACACCACCAUCAGCGUCGCCCCCUUUCUGUCCCCUUCCGUCCAUCACGCCGCCGAUCGCGGACCACCCAGCCGCCCCUUUUUCCUUCCUCUCGUGCCCCCUGCUUCCCCUCUUCACUCGCCUCUGCUUUGCCUUGCAUUCCAGGAAACAGGAACCACGUUCCCAUUUAGGAACGUUGGUUUUAAUUCCCUCAAGCCCAACCCUUUUAUUUGGCCCAAUAUUCCAAAAAUUCGAACUCGGAGCUCAGGACGAACGAACCAAGGAAAAAGGCCUAGCAAUCAUGGAAUUGAGGUACUGCUGGGGACCACGGAAACGAGUAGUGGCGAGGAUUUCACUAUUACAAAGUUCACCUAAGUUAAUGUUAAGUUGUACAAGUUUAAGUAAAAAUUCUUGAUUAAGUUACGUACUUUUCUUAAGGAAUUAAAAAG